rnacentral:rRNA from 1 species
AGCAGUCGCCGCGGUAAUACGUAGGGUGCGAGCGUUGUCCGGAAUUACUGGGCGUAAAGAGCACGUAGGCGGAUAUUUAAGUCAGGGGUGAAAUCCCGCAGCUCAACUGCGGAACUGCCUUUGAUACUGGGUAUCUUGAGUAUGGAAGAGGUUAGUGGAAUUGCGAGUGUAGAGGUGAAAUUCGUAGAUAUUCGCAGGAACACCAGUGGCGAAGGCAGCUUACUAAGGUAUGAUUGACGCUGAUGCACGAAAGCGUGGGGAUCAAACAGGAUUAGAUACCCGCGUAGUCCCUGUCUCUUAUAC